AAACCCCCUCGCCGAAAGACUAAGGUUUCCUGAUCAACGCUAAUCGGAUCAGGGUAAGUCGGGUCCUAAGGCUCAGCCGAACGGCGAGGCCGAUGGCAGAACCGGUUAAUAUUCCGGUACUAUCUUAAGGAGUGACGUGGAGACGGAGUCGUGACAGCGCCGCGGACUGACGGAAUAGUCCGUUGAAGGGUGUAGAUGUUGAUUGUUCCAGGCAAAUCCGGAAUGAGAGUCGAACCUGACAGUAUGGAGCGUCCUUCUGGACAAUCCAAUAGUGCGUGUAAUCAUACUUCCAAGAAAAUCCGCUAAACUUAAUCCUUACGGUACCCGUACCGCAAACGGACACACGUAGUCGGGUUGAAUAUACUAAGGCGCUUGAGUGAUUCACGGUUAAGGAACUAGGCAAACUGACCCUGUAACUUCGGGAUAAAGGGUCCCUACCCUUUUAUGGGAGGGCGCAGAGAAUCGGUCCAGGCAACUGUUUAACAAAAACACAGGGCUGUGCCAAAUCGAAAGAUCCAGUAUACAGCCUGACACCUGCCCGGUGCUGGAAGGUUAAGAGGAGAUGUCAUCGAUAAGAGAAGCGUUGAAUUGAAGCCCCAGUAAACGGCGGCCGUAACUAUAACGGUCCUAAGGUAGCGAAAUUCCUUGUCGGGUAAGUUCCGACCUGCACGAAUGGUGUAAUGAUCUGGACGCUGUCUCAACCGUGAGCUCAGUGAAAUUGUAGUAUCGGUGAAGAUGCCGAUUACCCGCGAUGGGACGAAAAGACCCCGUGAACCUUUACUAUAGCUUAUCAUUGAAUCUGGGCACGUGAUGUGUAGGAUAGGUCGGAGGCUUUGAAGCAGGUACGCCAGUAUUUGUGGAGCCGCUGUUGAAAUACGACCCUUUAUUUGUUUGGAUUCUAACCCGUGGAUACGGGGACAUUGAUUGGUGGGUAGUUUGACUGGGGUGGUCGCCUCCAAAAGCGUAACGGAGGCUUCUAAAGGUGCCCUCCGGCCGAUUGGUAACCGGCCUUAGAGUGUAAUGGCAUAAGGGCGCUUGACUGGGAGACUGACAAGUCGAUCAGGUAGGAAACUAGAGCAUAGUGAUCCGGUGUUUCCGUAUGGA
rnacentral:rRNA from 1 species